AGAGUUUGAUCCUGGCUCAGGACGAACGCUGGCGGCGUGCUUAACACAUGCAAGUCGAACGAUGAUCCGGUGCUUGCACCGGGGAUUAGUGGCGAACGGGUGAGUAACACGUGAGUAACCUGCCCUUGACUCUGGGAUAAGCCUGGGAAACCGGGUCUAAUACCGGAUAUGACUUCCCGCCGCAUGGUGGGGGGUGGAAAGAUUUUUUGGUUUUGGAUGGACUCGCGGCCUAUCAGCUUGUUGGUGGGGUAAUGGCCUACCAAGGCGACGACGGGUAGCCGGCCUGAGAGGGUGACCGGCCACACUGGGACUGAGACACGGCCCAGACUCCUACGGGAGGCAGCAGUGGGGAAUAUUGCACAAUGGGCGCAAGCCUGAUGCAGCGACGCCGCGUGAGGGAUGAGCGGCCUUCGGGUUGUAAACCUCUUUCAGCAGGGAAGAAGCGAAAGUGACGGUACCUGCAGAAGAAGCGCCGGCUAACUACGUGCCAGCAGCCGCGGUAAUACGUAGGGCGCAAGCGUUGUCCGGAAUUAUUGGGCGUAAAGAGCUCGUAGGCGGUUUGUCGCGUCUGCUGUGAAAGCCCGGGGCUCAACCCCGGGUCUGCAGUGGGUACGGGCAGACUGGAGUGCAGUAGGGGAGACUGGAAUUCCUGGUGUAGCGGUGAAAUGCGCAGAUAUCAGGAGGAACACCGAUGGCGAAGGCAGGUCUCUGGGCUGUAACUGACGCUGAGGAGCGAAAGCAUGGGGAGCGAACAGGAUUAGAUACCCUGGUAGUCCAUGCCGUAAACGUUGGGCACUAGGUGUGGGGGACAUUCCACGUUUCCGCGCCGUAGCUAACGCAUUAAGUG
rnacentral:rRNA from 1 species